rnacentral:rRNA from 1 species
GGCAGCGAUCAUACCAGCACUAAUGCACAGGAUUCCAUAAAAAAUCUGAAGUUAAGCAUGCUUGGGCAAGAAUAGUUCUAAGAUAGGCUUAUCCUAUGACUUUCAUAGACACAGGCU